GCCAGACUCCUACGGGAGGCAGCAGUGGGGAAUAUUGGACAAUGGGGGGAACCCUGAUCCAGCGACGCCGCGUGAGUGAAGAAGUAUUUCGGUAUGUAAAGCUCUAUCAGCAGGGAAGAAAGAAAUGACGGUACCUGACUAAGAAGCCCCGGCUAACUACGUGCCAGCAGCCGCGGUAAUACGUAGGGGGCAAGCGUUAUCCGGAUUUACUGGGUGUAAAGGGAGCGUAGACGGCGAUGCAAGCCAGAUGUGAAAGCCCGGGGCUCAACCCCGGGACUGCAUUUGGGACUGUAUAGCUAGAGUGUCGGAGAGGCAGGCGGAAUUCCUAGUGUAGCGGUGAAAUGCGUAGAUAUUAGGAGGAACACCAGUGGCGAAGGCGGCCUGCUGGACGAUGACUGACGUUGAGGCUCGAAAGCGUGGGGAGCAAACAGGAUUAGAUACCCUGGUA
rnacentral:rRNA from 1 species